GAUGAAGAACGUAGCGAAAUGCGAUAAGUAAUGUGAAUUGCAGAAUUCAGUGAAUCAUCGAGUCUUUGAACGCACAUUGCGCCCCCUGGUAUUCCGGGGGGCAUGCCUGUCCGAGCGUCAUUGCCGCCCUCAAGCACGGCUUGUGUGUUGGGCCCCCGCCCCCCGGCUUCGGGGGGCGGGCCCGAAAGGCAGCGGCGGCACCGCGUCCGGUCCUCGAGCGUAUGGGGCUUCGUCACCCGCUCUGUAGGCCCGGCCGGCGCCCGCCGGCGACCCCAAUCAAUCUUUCCAGGUUGACCUCGGAUCAGGUAGCGAUACCCGCUGAACUUAAGCAUAUCAAUAAGCGGAGGA
rnacentral:misc_RNA from 1 species